rnacentral:rRNA from 1 species
CAUAUAGAGUUUGAUCAUGGCUCAGGACGAACGCUGGCGGCGUGCCUAAUACAUGCAAGUCGAGCGGACAGAUGGGAGCUUGCUCCCUGAUGUUAGCGGCGGACGGGUGAGUAACACGUGGGUAACCUGCCUGUAAGACUGGGAUAACUCCGGGAAACCGGGGCUAAUACCGGAUGGUUGUUUGAACCGCAUGGUUCAAACAUAAAAGGUGGCUUCGGCUACCACUUACAGAUGGACCCGCGGCGCAUUAGCUAGUUGGUGAGGUAACGGCUCACCAAGGCGACGAUGCGUAGCCGACCUGAGAGGGUGAUCGGCCACACUGGGACUGAGACACGGCCCAGACUCCUACGGGAGGCAGCAGUAGGGAAUCUUCCGCAAUGGACGAAAGUCUGACGGAGCAACGCCGCGUGAGUGAUGAAGGUUUUCGGAUCGUAAAGCUCUGUUGUUAGGGAAGAACAAGUACCGUUCGAAUAGGGCGGUACCUUGACGGUACCUAACCAGAAAGCCACGGCUAACUACGUGCCAGCAGCCGCGGUAAUACGUAGGUGGCAAGCGUUGUCCGGAAUUAUUGGGCGUAAAGGGCUCGCAGGCGGUUUCUUAAGUCUGAUGUGAAAGCCCCCGGCUCAACCGGGGAGGGUCAUUGGAAACUGGGGAACUUGAGUGCAGAAGAGGAGAGUGGAAUUCCACGUGUAGCGGUGAAAUG